rnacentral:SRP_RNA from 1 species
UGGACGCACGGAGGCGACAGGGCUUGGCGCCUUCUUCGGCAUCCGCUCGUUCCUGAACGACAAGGAAUUCUGCGACGCGUGCCACUUUGAGGAGCCCGGGGUGA